rnacentral:rRNA from 1 species
GACCUGGCUCAGAUUGAACGCUGGCGGCAGGCCUAACACAUGCAAGUCGAGCGGUAACAUUUCUAGCUUGCUAGAAGAUGACGAGCGGCGGACGGGUGAGUAAUACUUGGGGAUCUGCCUGAUGGCGGGGGACAACCACUGGAAACGGUGGCUAAUACCGCAUAAUGCCUACGGGCCAAAGUGUGGGACCUUCGGGCCACAUGCCAUCAGAUGAACCCAAGCGAGAUUAGCUAGUUGGUGAGGUAACGGCUCACCAAGGCGACGAUCUCUAGCUGUUCUGAGAGGAUGAUCAGCCACACUGGGACUGAGACACGGCCCAGACUCCUACGGGAGGCAGCAGUGGGGAAUAUUGGACAAUGGGCGCAAGCCUGAUCCAGCCAUGCCGCGUGUGUGAAGAAGGCCUUCGGGUUGUAAAGCACUUUCAGUGGUGAGGAGGGCGUCGUAGUUAAUAGCUGCAACGAUUGACGUUAGCCACAGAAGAAGCACCGGCUAACUCCGUGCCAGCAGCCGCGGUAAUACGGAGGGUGCGAGCGUUAAUCGGAAUUACUGGGCGUAAAGCGCACGUAGGCGGCUUGUUAAGCAAGAUGUGAAAGCCCAGGGCUCAACCUUGGAAUUGCAUUUUGAACUGGCAAGCUAGAGUUUUGAAGAGGGUGGUAGAAUUUCCAGUGUAGCGGUGAAAUGCGUAGAUAUUGGAAGGAAUACCAGUGGCGAAGGCGGCCACCUGGUCAAGAACUGACGCUGAGGAGCGAA